GAGCUGCUCUCCUAACUGCAUGCUUUUGCGAAUCGCAGACGGCCGCCGGCUGCCUCCUCGCCUCCCGCGGCCUGGUUAUAAAGGCCGGCUGGGGGAGCCAGCGCCCUCUUCCGAGGGGAAGGGUUGGUGGAGAGAAACCUCGCGCUCUGCGUUUGGGAUCCCAGGGAUACCGAAAGGUUCCCGCGUCUGAAUCAGAAGCGGCGGGCUACUGAAGACAAGAGGCAGACGGAGCGAGCCAAGCGCUCGCCCUCCCUCCCAUCCACCCUAACAAACCGGCUUUCUGGAGGACAUCACUUCCAUUGCCUACAAUUAAAAAAAAAAAAGCUCUGCUCGGUUUUCCUGAA